ACUCUUGGUGAGCCAUUUUAUUGGUGAUUAAUGAUGGUGAAACUUUGUCUCGCAUCAAGGUUCAUGUGCAGAACAAGUUGCAAGUACGAGAUGAGGAAUUUUUGAAGUGGAGAUUUGCUUUUGUGUCGCAUAGUCAAGCAGAAUACUUGGAGGACUCAGAUACUUUGUUCGGCCAUUUCCAGGUCUCACUCACUCUCUCACAUAGACACACUCUGUGACAAUAUUUAUAUGCAGAUGCGCUUAAAUUUCAUAAUAUGUUUUGACUCUACAAAGAAGCAGUAUUUGUGUUUCUUGGGAGCAAUAUCUUGGACUGGAACACGUUAACAAUACCCCUAGAAGGCUCCUACAGCAAAUCAGGUUUCAAACCGCCAUCGCCCACAUUCUGUGCACCAAUCCAUUCUCUCGGAGAUGGUGGAGGAGCACGCUCAACCGAAAAUAUGUUACCUUGAGCAUCCCUUCUUUGUGCAAAAGCUGAUUCUGGACCUUCAAAUCACGGUUGAAAGCACCGCAGGUAUGGCAAAAAUCAAGUAGUGGUGGUUGAUUUGCUAGGUUUUCUUGUGGUGGUGGUGGCAGUUUCACCCGUCUUCAACGUAUUUUCGGUGGAAGUUAU